UGGGGAAUAUUGCACAAUGGGCGCAAGCCUGAUGCAGCAACGCCGCGUGAACGAAGAAGGUCUUCGGAUUGUAAAGUUCUGUCCUUAGGGAAGAAGAAAGUGACGGUACCUAAGGAGGAAGCCCCGGCUAACUACGUGCCAGCAGCCGCGGUAAUACGUAGGGGGCAAGCGGUUAUCCGGAAUGAUUGGGCGUAAAGAGUACGUAGGUGGUUUUGUAAGCGCGGGGUGAAAGGCAGUGGCUUAACCAUUGUAAGCCUUGCGAACUGCGAGACUUGAGUGCAGGAGAGGAAAGCGGAAUUCCUAGUGUAGCGGUGAAAUGCUUAGAUAUUAGGAGGAACACCAGUGGCGAAGGCGGCUUUCUGGACUGUAACUGACACUGAGGUACGAAAGCGUGGGGAGCAAAACAGGAUUAGAUACCC
rnacentral:rRNA from 1 species